GGAGUUAGCCGAGGCUUAUUCGUCAGGUACCGUCAGAUCUUCUUCCCUGACAAAAGAGGUUUACAACCCAAAAGCCUUCCUCCCUCACGCGGUCUUGCUCCGUCAGGCUUUCGCCCAUUGCGGAAAAUUCCCC
rnacentral:rRNA from 1 species